CAAACAGCUGCCGACUCUAAUUUGCUGCUUCAUCAGUCAUGUCUGGGACUCCAGUUUCUCCUAUAGCUUCAUCCAAUGACCAAAAAUUAUUACACUUUAGAUCGUCCCAAGUUCUUGAAAUACAACCCCCAACAUAUGAGUAAUAUUCUCUAGACAUUUUCAUAAUGCGUUAAAAACUGGACAUAACAAUCAAAAACAAAAGGUUUCAAAUGGUCAUGUAAAUAUUUUUCUUACCUUACUUAACUCAU
rnacentral:lncRNA from 1 species